GAGAGCCAUUUGUAUGGGACUGAAGGGCCUCUCUUUUACCUAAGGAAUGCAUUUAACAAUUUCAACUUCUGUCUGGUUCUUGCUUUACUAUUGUUGGUUAUUUUGCCAAUUGUGAGGAGGAAGUACUCGCCUGACCUGCUGAUAGUGGUCUCCCCUCUUUAUAUAUGGCUUGGUUUUAUGUCUUUACAGCACAACAAAGAAGACAGCCACACAAAGAAGAAAGGUUAGUUUAUCUUGCUUGUGAUACUUUUUUCUGUUCCUGCUUAGCUUGCCCUUUGCUCCAUAAUUUUGCUUGCCGACUGUUUAGGGAGAUUCUGCAUCUCAUUGCUGUUUUUUUUCUGGAAUUUUCCAUCGUGCUUGUCCCGUGAAUGAAACCCUACCAAUAUAUUUUAGCUGGUUCUGGAACUUGCAUUAGUUUCUGAAGUUCCAUUUUAGUACUUUGAUGUUUUCAGUGAGAGUGGUUCCCUUUCUAUGUGACAGUUGUAACUGUUCAACGAAAAACUGUUUGAAUUGCAAAUCCAUCCUAUUGAUGAUUGGAUCAAUAGUUCAGUACAACAUCAGUUUGUUAUUGUCGGUUCAUGAUCUAAGAGUAAUACAUAAGUUAGACUUGAUUAUUAACCAAAUGUCAUAUCAUCAUCAUUCUGUUUCUUAAUUACAUUAAAUAUUCAUGGAUCAGCAGAGGUACAGAAGUUAGUUUCAUAUUGAAUAUUGUGUUCUUCAUUCUUCUAUGAAAGUUUAUAUGGGAAUCAGAUGCCUAAUAAUUUCAUGUUCCAUAGAUACGGUCUUUCAUGCCCUAGCCGUAGGAUGGGUGUCUAAGAUAUGUUUGACCUGUUAAUUACAGAUUCCUCUACCCAGUCUAUCCUCUAGUUUGUGUAGCUGCUUCUGCGGUUAUUGAGAGCUUUCCGGAUCUUGUCAGAGAGAAGCACAAUCCAAAUGACAAUUC
rnacentral:lncRNA from 1 species